UAACGUCUUCAGGGCGGGGUGCAACUCCCCACCGGCGGUAGGUUUCGGUGGCAACCAGCCAGCGCGACAAGCCCGCGAGCGCCUCCGGCGGCAUGCUUCGGCGUGGCCGUGGAGGGUCAGCAGAUCCGGUCCGAUGCCGGAGCCGACGGUCAUAGUCCGGAUGAAAGAAGACGGCG
rnacentral:ncRNA from 2 species